UACGUAGGGCGCAAGCGUUGUCCGGAAUUAUUGGGCGUAAAGAGCUCGUAGGCGGCUUGUCACGUCGGAUGUGAAAGCCCGGGGCUUAACCCCGGGUCUGCAUUCGAUACGGGCUAGCUAGAGUGUGGUAGGGGAGAUCGGAAUUCCUGGUGUAGCGGUGAAAUGCGCAGAUAUCAGGAGGAACACCGGUGGCGAAGGCGGAUCUCUGGGCCAUUACUGACGCUGAGGAGCGAAAGCGUGGGGAGCGAACAGGAUUAGAUACCCUGGUAGUCCACGCCGUAAACGUUGGGAACUAGGUGUUGGCGACAUUCCACGUCGUCGGUGCCGCAGCUAACGCAUUAAGUUCCCCGCCUGGGGAGUACGGCCGCAAGGCUAAA
rnacentral:rRNA from 1 species